CAUACAAUAUCCAGUGCUCAUCACAACAAAUACCCUCCUUAGUACCCAUCACCCAUCUAGCUCAUCUCACACCCACCUCCCGCCAUCAACUCAUAGUUUGCUCUCUAUCAUUAAGAGCCUCUUGUGAUUUGUUUUCCCCUCUUCCCUUCCCCCCCAUUUCCAUAUGUUCAUCUGUUUUCUUUCUUAAAUUCCACAUAUCAGUGAAAUCAUACGGUAUUUGUCCUUCUCUGACUGACUUAUUUUGC